GAGAGAGAGAGAGAGAGAGAGAGAGAGAGAGAGACGGAAUAGAUGCUGUUUUGGAAUUAUGAACUCUCUAAGUGAAUCAGAUCCACCGCUUAGUGAACUUUAUUCGCCAUCCGUCUCCCUCACCUCUCCCCCGGCUGGCAGGCAGGAUGAAUGUGUCCCACGGUGAUGAUAAAAACUCUCCCUCGGCUCAGACACAGAGAGAGACAGAGAGAAAGAGGGGGGAGAGAGAGAAACCCAGCGGUGUUGCCCGGACGGCGGGGGGCCAUACUGUUAGAAGAAAGUCCCUAAAGAGUAAAUAUCUGCUGGCAUCUCCACAGAAUUACCCGGAAAUGAUGCGCGGUGAUUGAAAAAUUGUCGUCAAGACAUUAUCUGCGUCCCGGCACUAUUUUUGAGACUGUACACAAUCGGAACUAUCAUCUGAUGGCCCCUUUUUAUUUUUUUGAAGAAUAUAUAAGCAAUAAGGAGCGAGUUUUAGUUGAUAUUGAUGUUUUUUUUAAGCUUGUGACCGUUAACAUUUAAACAGUCCGGUGCUCGCCUGUGAUUGGCUGUUAAAAACCGCAGCAUCACUUGAUCACGCACCUGUGACCGCGUCACUGUUUAAAUAUUAAUGCGCUAAUUGAAAACCGUCGCCAUUACUCCGCUGUCACUCGGCCUGUUAAACAACUGUGAUGCUUGUUGGGAGAAUACCGCUCAAGGUGAUGUCCUCUGCCUCUCCAUGUUUCCCUGUGGCCAGCAGGAUCAGCUUGAAGACACAGGAGAUCCUCUGGUGGUAAAGGGCCAGGCAGCGAGCCCCACGUCCCCACGUCGAGCAGUCUGCAGCAGGAAUGCAGGAGGAUUCUGGCCCUUUCAGCCACACAGGGACACAACUGCAGGGUACAUCCUGUUUAUUUAUUGUGGGCAAAUCAGUAAUCAAGAGUUUUACUGACCUUUAAACUAUUGAGUCACCAGCAAUCCAUGCAACCAAACAGUCAGAGAAGGAUUUGAUACAGCGUGAGGGCAUGGGACUGGUUUGGGGAUAUUUAAUUAAAGCAAAUUUCUCCUCAUAGUACAGUCAGCUUUACAAUAUAGUUGUGUUCAAGUUCAAGGGGCUGUGACUCCUUGUUGAGAUUUAAAGGCUCUGUAAGGGUGCUUGAAAAUGCUAGAAUUUUUCUUUUCAAGAUUUGAAAAAUGCUGGGAUUUUGGAUAAAAUGCUUGAAACUGCAUAAUAUAAAACAACAGAUGUCUUUAUGCGGCCUUUUAGUGUUCUCCUUUAAUUUGUCGACCUUCUGUAGCAUGCUUUAAAAAACACAUUUAGGUUGUUUCUAGCACAGUAACAUCUAAUAUGAUAUGAUGCAGUGAAAUAAUAAUUUUGAGUAGAUACACUACUCAAAAGUAGUUGGGGAAAUUGCAAUAAUUGCAUGGAUAUGCAAUACAAGUCAAAUGAAAUGUGUCGCAUUAUUUUUGGGGACCAAAAAUAUUCACAAAACACAAAGCAAAAAUUCAGAUAUGUCACAUAAUAAACAAUCAAGUGUGGAUAAUAAUAUACACCAAUAUCCCCAACUAAUUUUAAGUAGUGUACAGUAUAGGUAUAUAAAUAUGUUGUUUAUCACAGCUGUAAGGUGCUGGAAAAUACUUUUGAAAAUGCUUGAAAAGUGCUUGAAUUUGACAAUGGAAAAAGUAUAGAAAUAGGUAAAGAAU